GCUAGUUGGUAAGGUAACGGCUUACCAAGGCUACGAUGGGUAGGGGUCCUGAGAGGGAGAUCCCCCACACUGGAACUGAGACACGGACCAGACUCCUACGGGAGGCAGCAGUGAGGAAUAUUGGUCAAUGGUCGGAAGACUGAACCAGCCAUGCCGCGUGCAGGAUGACGGCCCUAUGGGUUGUAAACUGCUUUUGUACGGGAAGAAACACCGGUUCGUGAACCGGCUUGACGGUACCGUAAGAAUAAGGAUCGGCUAACUCCGUGCCAGCAGCCGCGGUAAUACGGAGGAUCCAAGCGUUAUCCGGAAUCAUUGGGUUUAAAGGGUCCGUAGGCGGUCUUAUAAGUCAGUGGUGAAAUCUGGUCGCUCAACGAUCAAACUGCCAUUGAUACUGUAGGACUUGAAUUACUGUGAAGUAACUAGAAUAUGUAGUGUAGCGGUGAAAUGCUUAGAGAUUACAUGGAAUACCAAUUGCGAAGGCAGGUUACUAACAGUGGAUUGACGCUGAUGGACGAAAGCGUGGGGAGCGAACAGGAUUAGAUACCCUGGUAGUCCACGCUGUAAACGAUGGAUACUAGUUGUUUGGAGCAAUCUGAGUGACUAAGC
rnacentral:rRNA from 1 species